ensembl:snRNA
GUGUUGUAUGAAAGGAGAGAAGGUUAGCACUCCCCUUGACAAGGAUGGAAGAGGCUCUCGGGUCUGACAACACACAUACGGUUGAGUUAAUUUUUAUAUACGAUAUAGGACUUAGAUUAAUGCUUAUUUUUU